ensembl:lncRNA
GUGAGGUGAGUGGGGUGAGUGAGGUGAGUGAGGUGAGUGGGGUGAGUGAGGUGAGUGGGGUGAGUGGGGUGAGUGAGUGAGAGGAAGUGAGAGUGAGGUGAGUGAGGUGAGUGGGGCGAGUGAGGUGAGUGGGGUGAGUGAGAUGAGUGAGGUGAGUGAGAUGAGUGGGGUGAGUGAGAUGAGUGGGGUGAGUGACGUGAGUGAGAUGAGUGAGGUGAGUGAGGUGAGUGAGGUGAGUGGGGUGAGUGGGGUGAGUGAGGUGAGUGAGGUGAGUGAGGUGAGUGAGGACAAACACAUAGGCAAUAGACAAUAGACAUAUUUCCGACGACAUUAGGGCCAUUUUGGUGGUCCGUGUCAUAAAUCAUGGCCUGACAAUGAGGGAGGCAGAGAGUCCAGC